AUUGAACGCUGGCGGCAUGCCUUACACAUGCAAGUCGAACGGCAGCACGGGAGCAAUCCUGGUGGCGAGUGGCGAACGGGUGAGUAAAGUAUCGGAACGUGCCCAGUCGUGGGGGAUAACGUAGCGAAAGUUACGCUAAUACCGCAUACGAUCUAUGGAUGAAAGCGGGGGAUCGCAAGACCUCGCGCGAUUGGAGCGGCCGAUAUCAGAUUAGGUAGUUGGUGGGGUAAAGGCUCACCAAGCCGACGAUCUGUAGCUGGUCGGAGAGGACGAACAGCCACACUGGGACUGAGACACGGCCCAGACUCCUACGGGAGGCAGCAGUGGGGAAUUUUGGACAAUGGGCGAAAGCCUGAUCCAGCCAUGCCGCGUGCAGGAUGAAGGCCUUCGGGUUGUAAACUGCUUUUGUACGGAACGAAAAGGUUUGGCCUAAUAAGCUGAGCUCAUGACGGUACCGUAAGAAUAAGCACCGGCUAACUACGUGCCAGCAGCCGCCGUAA
rnacentral:rRNA from 1 species